rnacentral:rRNA from 1 species
GGAGGUAGUACAAUAAAUCACAAUGCGGGACUAUACGUCUUGCAAUUGGAUUGAGAACAAUGUACAACUCUUAUCGAUAAGCCAUUGGAGGGCAAGUCUGGUGCCAGCAGCCGCGGUAAUUCCAGCUCCAAUAGCGUAUAUUAACGUUGUUGCAGUUAAAAAGCUCGUAGUUGAAGUGUGGGUGAUCGCUGUUGUGAGACUUCGGUCUCUCGACAGUAAGUCACCCCCUUCCAGUAUCCAGUAGUGGGUAUUCAGUUCAGUUACUUACUAUUGUGUGUUGGUCCUUUACUGUGAGAAAAUUAGAGUGUUCAAAGCAGGCGUUUGCUUGAAUAGAUUAGCAUGGAAUAAUAAUUGAAGGCUUUCGUGUUCGAUUUGAUUGGUUUGUUCAUGGAAGCAAGGUUAAAAGGAACAGUUGGGGGUAUUCAUAUUCACUAGUUAGAGGUGAAAUUCUCGGAUUUAUGGAAGAUGAACAA